rnacentral:rRNA from 1 species
GACGAACGCUGGCGGCGUGCUUAACACAUGCAAGUCGAACGGAAAGGCCUCUUUCGGGGGGUACUCGAGUGGCGAACGGGUGAGUAACACGUGAGUAACCUGCCCUUGACUUUGGGAUAACUUCAGGAAACUGGGGCUAAUACCGGAUAGGAGCUCCUGCUGCACGGUGGGGGUUGGAAAGUUUCGGCGGUUGGGGAUGGACUCGCGGCUUAUCCGCUUGUUGGUGGGGUAGUGGCUUACCAAGGCUUUGACGGGUAGCCGGCCUGAGAGGGUGACCGGCCACAUUGGGACUGAGAUACGACCCAGACUCCUACGGGAGGCAGCAGUGGGGAAUAUUGCACAAUGGGUGGAAGCCUGAUGCAGCAACGCCGUGUGCGGGAUGACGGCCUUCGGGUUGUAAACCGCUUUCGCUCAUGACGAAGCUUUGUGUGACGGUAGUGGGUAAAGAAGCACCGGCUAACUACGU